GAUGAACGCUGGCGGCGUGCCUAACACAUGCAAGUCGAACGGAGUCCAGCCUUUAAGACCUUCGGGUCAAAGAGGGGAAGCCUGAGUGGCGGACGGGUGAGUAACACGUGGGCAACCUGGCUCAUAGAGGGGGAUAACAGAGAGAAAUUUCUGCUAAUACCGCAUAAGCACACCCUGCCGCAUGGCAGAGGGUGAAGAGAGAAUCGCUAUGAGAUGGACCCGCGUCUGAUUAGCCAGUUGGCAGGGUAAGAGCCUACCAAAGCGACGAUCAGUAGCCGAUCUGAGAGGAUGAACGGCCACAUUGGGACUGAGACACGGCCCAAACUCCUACGGGAGGCAGCAGUGGGGGAUAUUGCACAAUGGGGGGAACCCUGAUGCAGCGACGCCGCGUGAGUGAAGAAGUAUUUCGGUAUGUAAAGCUCUAUCAGCAGGGAAGAUAAUGACAGUACCUGAAUAAGAAGCCCCGGCUAACUACGUG
rnacentral:rRNA from 1 species